rnacentral:rRNA from 1 species
GGGGAAUUUUCCGCAAUGGGCGAAAGCCUGACGUAGCGACACCGCGUGAGCGAAGAAGCCCUUUGGGGUGUAAAGCUCUGUCGGCUGGAACGAAAAAAAUGACGGUACCAGCAAAGGAAGCAUCGGCUAACUACGUGCCAGCAGCCGCGGUAAGACGUAGGAUGCAAGCGUUGUCCGGAUUUAUUGGGCGUAAAGAGUUCGUAGGCGGUUUGUUAAGUCUGGUGUUAAAGAUCAGGGCCCAACCCUGGGAUGGCAUUGGAUACUGGCAGACUGGAGUGCAGUAGAGGCAAGUGGAAUUCCCAGUGUAGCGGUGAAAUGCGUAGAUAUUGGGAAGAACACCGGUGGCGCAGGCGACUUGCUGGGCUGUAACUGACGCUGAGGAACGAAAGCUAGGGGAGCAAAAGGGAUAGAUACCCCUGUAGUC